ACAUUGACGAGUGUGAGAAUGACUACUACAAUGGGGGCUGUGUCCACGAGUGCAUCAACAUCCCGGGGAACUACAGGUGUACCUGCUUUGAUGGCUUCAUGCUGGCACACGAUGGACACAACUGCCUGGGAAUGCUUCACAAAAGUGGAACCACUGGAUCAAACGACCAUUUGGUUUUUUAUGGCUUUCUAAAAGGGCUCAGCAAAGCUUCUGUUGUGCCAGCUGGUUUGUGGGUGUGUGGUAGAGGAUACUGGGUGUCCUGAGUGCUCUGGAACUUUCCCU
rnacentral:lncRNA from 10 species